UUAGAUUCGGGACGAAUUUUUAAAAAUCUGAAUCAAAAUCCGACUCCAAAGUCAAAAUCCGAACCCGAACCCAAAUCCGACAAAUUUUAAAAAUUCAUAUCCAAAUCCGAACCCGACUAAAAACCUGAACAUGAAAAUUCGAAUCCGAAAUAAUUAUUUCUUUUCAAUAUUUCAAAAUAUAUUAUAUUAAAUCUAAAUUUUUAAAAUAUAAAUUCAAAUAUAACAUCAAAUUUAUAUAUACAUAUUAUAUAUAAUAUAAAAUAAAUUCGGGUUCUGAUCGGGUUUAGGUUUAGGUCGGGUCAGGUCAAAAUCCAUAUCUGAAUCCAUAUCGAUUGGAUUUUUAUUUUUGAUAUCCAUAUUUAAAACUACAUUCAUUUAGUAUCGAAUAAAUCUGCUCUAUUCGAAUUUGAAUUUGAAUAAAAUUUUGAAUAUCCGUAUCCAUUAACAUUU
rnacentral:lncRNA from 1 species